CUGCAGAACCAGUUUACAUUUACUUAUAUAGAUUUUUUGCACCAUAAGAGUCAUACAGACAGGUUAUUGGACUAUGACAUUAACCAAUGCCUAAAACAUACUGAGGUGAUUGUUCAGUUCAUGUCAUGACAGUCAAGAAAAUUAAGUGUGUUUAGGCACACUUGUUGAAAACAUAUAAAAGGCUUUGUAAAAUUCACCCAUGCCUCAUUUGAAAAGUCAACAGGUUCAGAAGUGUGUAUAAAUUAACAGGUGGAGACGACCAGAUACUCCUCAUGGCCAUCAAGGGCAGCCACAGAGAUUCAAGUGUGAGCUCACCUGUGUAGUAGCUGUAGCUCCCGUGUCUGAGGCGCAUUCUGCCGGGGGCUAGUGAACUACCCUCGCUAGGACCAUAGCGACACUGACAACAACACGGGUAUGCAGCAAAGGGCGUUUGUUGCAGCACAAUAGCUCCUUAAGUAGGCUGACUGCUUCGUCUACACCCCUUAAGCGUUCGCCAAAAGCGUGCGUCCAAUUUACAUCACAGAGCAGGGGAGGUUCUGCCGCGUCACAACCCGUGUCCUUGCUAACGCCUACUACAACACACCUGCGUCCACACUGGCUUCCUACAGGCAGAGCCAGAGCACAACAGCAAGCUGAGCCGAGCUGUUCCUUCGAAUAUUAUGUAGUUCUUGUGGAGAACAGUGGGGAUCCACAGCGCAAUGACUAAUCCCUGUGAAAGGCUAAACUUGAGUGAUUCAUUCGGCUCUGAGAUCCAGACAUUAGUAUUCUUAAAAACUCUUCUGAAUUUAGCUUUUUAUUUAGUGAGGAACAACUAAAGAACAAGAGAAUUCAAGGGAAAGCACCUGCCUUUACAGAACACACAAGAAGCAAUAUUCUCAGGAUAUGCUUUCAUGUUUUCAAGAGGAGAAGAAAACAGAGAAACCAGGAAUGAAAAAGUGACAGUGACUGACUUCAUAGAGGCAUUUCCAGAAUAUGAUAAGCAUGAUAAAGAACAACCACACUAUGCCUCAAAUAUGUAUUCAGCAAGAAGGAUCAUUCUUCCUGAAGAAUCAACACGCGUCCUCCAGAAGGAGAUGCUACGUGGAAAUGCAAAUGCAGCAAAAGUUGUGAAGCAACAAGAGGGUAGCGGAUGGAGAUGUGACUGCAAUAACCUAUAG
rnacentral:lncRNA from 1 species